rnacentral:rRNA from 1 species
UACGAAGGGUGCAAGCGUUGUUCGGAAUUACUGGGCGUAAAGGGUUCGUAGGCGGGACUUUAAGUCAAGUGUGAAAUCCCCGAGCUUAACUCGGGACGUGCACUUGAAACUGGAGUUCUUGAGUUCUAGAGAGGGUGGUGGAAUUGCUGGUGUAGGAGUGACAUCCGUAGAGAUCAGCAGGAACACCGGAGGCGAAGGCGACCACCUGGCUAGACACUGACGCUGGGGAGGGAAGGCGUGGGGAGGAAGCGGG